UACGGGGGGAGCAAGCGUUGUUCGGAUUUACUGGGCGUAAAGGGCGCGUAGGCGGUCAGCACAAGUCAGUUGUGAAAUCUCCGGGCUUAACUCGGAAAGGUCAACUGAUACUGUGCGACUAGAGUGCGGAAGGGGCAACUGGAAUUCUCGGUGUAGCGGUGAAAUGCGCAGAUAUCAGGAGGAACACCGGUGGCGAAGGCGGGUCUCUGGGCCGACAUUGACGCUGAGGAGCGAAAGCGUGGGGAGCGAACAGG
rnacentral:rRNA from 1 species